rnacentral:tRNA from 2 species
CGGGGUGUGGCCUAGUGGUAGGGCGCCUGCUUUGGGAGCAGGAGAUCCCGGGUUCGAAUCCCGGCACCCCGA